UGCACGAUCUUGCACACCUCCUUGUC
rnacentral:piRNA from 1 species